AAAUGCGAUAAGUAAUGUGAAUUGCAGAAUUCAGUGAAUCAUCGAAUCUUUGAACGCACCUUGCGCUCCUUGGUAUUCCUUGGAGCAUGCCUGUUUGAGUAUCAUGAAAUCUUCAAAGUAAAUCUUUUGUUAACUCAAUUGGUUUCUACUUUGGUAUUGGAGGUCUUUGCAGCUUCACACCUGCUCCUCUUUGUUCAUUAGCUGGAUCUCAGUGUUAUGCUUGGUUCCACUCGGCGUGAUAAGGUAUCUAUCGCUGAGGACACUGUAAAAGGUGGCCAAGGUAAAUGCAGAUGAACCGCUUCUAAUAGUCCAUUGACUUGGACAAUACUUUUAUGAUCUGAUCUCAAAUCAGGUAGGACUACCCGCUGAACUUAAGC
rnacentral:misc_RNA from 1 species